rnacentral:lncRNA from 1 species
CACCAACAACAUCAACGGUCUCCCAAGACCAAUACAAUAGCCUUAUCUAGUAGGUGCAAGCGCUUUCAGCUGCGGUGAGAGGGAUGCAGCAAAACAGUGAACCUGAUCUUAUCCCUGAGAAUCCAUAGCUAACUAAAGGAAUAUCAGCAAACUGAUCUCCCUGUAGCCCAAGGGCGGGAGCUAGUCAUCAUAGCUACCCUAGUAGCUCAUUC